rnacentral:tRNA from 1 species
UGUAAAAUAAGCUAAAUAGGAAGCUGUUGGGUUCAUACCCCAAAAAUGAAUUAAAAUUCUUUUACAA